rnacentral:rRNA from 1 species
CCUACGGGGGGCAGCAGUGGGGAAUAUUGGACAAUGGGGGGAACCCUGAUCCAGCCAUGCCGCGUGUGUGAAGAAGGCCCUCGGGUUGUAAAGCACUUUCAGUGAGGAAGAACGCCUGGUGGUUAAUACCCAUCAGGAAAGACAUCACUCACAGAAGAAGCACCGGCUAACUCCGUGCCAGCAGCCGCGGUAAUACGGAGGGUGCGAGCGUUAAUCGGAAUUACUGGGCGUAAAGCGCGCGUAGGUGGCUUGAUAAGCCGGUUGUGAAAGCCCCGGGCUCAACCUGGGAACGGCAUCCGGAACUGUUAAGCUAGAGUGCAGGAGAGGAAGGUAGAAUUCCCGGUGUAGCGGUGAAAUGCGUAGAGAUCGGGAGGAAUACCAGUGGCGAAGGCGGCCUUCUGGACUGACACUGACACUGAGGUGCGAAAGCGUGGGUAGCAAACAGGAUUAGAUACCCUUGUAGUC